rnacentral:misc_RNA from 1 species
AUCCAUUACCCAAGAAGCUGAAGGUAUCUGCUGCUGGGACAUCUUGACGAGAAUCUAGAAAGGUCAGAUUUAAUUCCUAGAACUACUCGGAAUUCUCAAUCACUGUGCGCAGUUGGUUUGCCAGCGAGAAGACCCAUUAAUUUGUGCAGUUUUACAUUGAAAAUGAUGAGGGAGUUUUGAUUGUACUUCAUCUUGAAUAUAUAUUAUUGAUUUUGGGUUAUACUUAGCACUGUAGAAGAUUGUAACUUAGAAG